rnacentral:rRNA from 1 species
UACGGGGGGGGCAAGCGUUGUUCGGAAUUACUGGGCGUAAAGCGUAUGCAGGCGGAUCGUUAAGUCGGGGGUGAAAUCCCGAGGCUCAACCUCGGAACUGCCUUCGAUACUGGCGAUCUUGAGUCCGGGAGAGGUGAGUGGAACUCCGAGUGUAGAGGUGAAAUUCGUAGAUAUUCGGAAGAACACCAGUGGCGAAGGCGGCUCACUGGCCCGGUACUGACGCUGAGAUACGAAAGCGUGGGGAGCAAACAGG